GCUAACCGUAAAGUCCACAAGAACAGGAUAAUGGAUGGACUGAGGUCUCUUAAUUGUGGGUUUGUUAAUGUCGAUAAAAUCGAAAAAGUUGUGAAAAAUAUGGGUUGGAAACUCACCAAGGAAGAAAUUAAGGAUCUGAAGCAAAAUUUGCCUCCCGAUGUACAUGGAAGAAUUGCAUUGAAAAAAUUGUUGAAGGGAUUAAAUGCAUUUACAGGUGA